rnacentral:piRNA from 1 species
UUUUUUUCUUGGAGGUUUUUC